rnacentral:snRNA from 1 species
GGAUGUGGGGGUGAUCUGCUGCAAAUCUGUCAUCCCAUUUUCUCCACUGUUGAUCCGUCUGAUCUGAGUGUCAAGGUGGGUGUCUCUCCUUCCUCUUCAUUCCAUAUGUGUCCCUCCUAAAGAGUGCACACUGCACAAAUAAAGCAGGACCUGUCUUCAGCCAAAGGUGCAGUAGUAGCUUCGUUCCCCUGCCAGAACCUCCAAAUGGGCUCUCAAGGGAUUUGUGUGACCAAACACCAAAAAUCUCUCCAAAAGUAAGUAUUGGAGUGCUU